GACGAACGCUGGCGGCGUGCUUAACACAUGCAAGUCGAACGAGUGGCGAACGGGUGAGUAAUACGUGGGUAACCUGCCCUCUUUUUGGGAUAAGCCUUGGAAACGGGGUCUAAUACCGAAUAAAGGGGGAUGGGCUCGCGGCCUAUCAGCUUGUUGGUGGGGUGAUGGCCUACCAAGGCGGUGACGGGUAGCCGGACUGAGAGGGUGACCGGCCACAUUGGGAGUGCGAGACGGCCCAGGGUCCUACGGGAGGCAGAAGUUGGGGAUAGUGCACAAUCGGCAAACAGCUAAUGCGUCGACGUCGCGUGGGGGAUAGAGGCUUUCGGGUUGUAAACCUCUGUCGCUAUCGAACCGGUAGGUGGAGAAGAAGCGCCGGCUAACUACGUGCCAGCAGCCGCGGUAAUUC
rnacentral:rRNA from 1 species